UAGUGGAGCGAUUUGUCUGCUUAAUUGCGAUAACGAACGAGAUCCGAGCCCACUUAUAAUAGUGGGUAGCAUUAGUUUUCCACUGGCCUUUGUGCGUGUUUAGGCGCGCACACUGGUUUUAGGGGUUAACCUAUGCACGCUUCGCUUCUUAGAGGCACAAUAUGCGAUAUAAUAGCAUAUAGAAGUUGGACCAUAACA
rnacentral:rRNA from 1 species